GAGACACAAAGACCUACCUGAGGCUGGACCU
rnacentral:piRNA from 1 species